GCGGACGUAGCAAUACGUCAGCGGCAGACGGGUGAGUAACGCGUGGGAACGUACCUUUUGGUUCGGAAUAGCUCAGGGAAACUUGGAUUAAUACCGAAUAAGCCCUUACGGGGAAAGAUUUAUCGCCGAAAGAUCGGCCCGCGUCUGAUUAGCUAGUUGGUGAGGUAACGGCUCACCAAGGCGACGAUCAGUAGCUGGUCUGAGAGGAUGAUCAGCCACAUUGGGACUGAGACACGGCCCAAACUCCUACGGGAGGCAGCAGUGGGGAAUAUUGGACAAUGGGCGCAAGCCUGAUCCAGUCAUGCCGCGUGAGUGAUGAAGGCCCUAGGG
rnacentral:rRNA from 1 species